AGCAGCAGCCACGGUAAUACAGAGGGUGCGAGCGUUAAUCGGAUUUACUGGGCGUAAAGCGUGCGUAGGCGGCUUCUUAAGUCGGAUGUGAAAUCCCUGAGCUUAACUUAGGAAUUGCAUUCGAUACUGGGAAGCUAGAGUAUGGGAGAGGAUGGUAGAAUUCCAGGUGUAGCGGUGAAAUGCGUAGAGAUCUGGAGGAAUACCGAUGGCGAAGGCAGCCAUCUGGCCUAAUACUGACGCUGAGGUACGAAAGCAUGGGGAGCAAACAGGAUUAGAUACCCCUGUAGUCCCUGUCUCUUAUAC
rnacentral:rRNA from 1 species